rnacentral:rRNA from 1 species
CCCUAAAAGCUUAAGUUUAAGCUUUUAUUUAGUGUAUGUAUAGAUAUAUUACUUGUAAUUUAAAUUUUAGCUGGGGUAGUGGCUUUAAUAAAUUUAAGGUUGAUGAAACAGUAAAUAAUUGGUGAAGGUCCUUUAUAUUAGGAUACAUAGAGUUAGUUACUUUAGGGAUAACAGCGCUAUAGUCUCAAGGAGACCAUAUCUAUGGGAUUGAUUGCGACCUCGAUGUUGAAUUAGAAGAUCGGUGUGGAGCAGAAA